UCAGACGAUGCGUCAUGCAUAUCAAUAAGCGGAGGAAAAGAAACUAACAAGGAUUCCCCUAGUAACGGCGAGUGAAGCGGGAAGAGCUCAAAUUUGAAAUCUUAAAGGGUUUCCCUUUACGAAUUGUAGUUUAAAGAAGUGUUUUCUGUAGAGGUUUUGGUAAAAGUUCUUUGGAAUAGGACAUCAUAGAGGGUGAGAAUCCCGUAUUUGACCUUUACUUUCAACUUUGUGAUACACUUUCAAAGAGUCGGAUUGAUUGGGAAUGCAGUCCAAAAUGGGUGGUAAAUUUCAUCUAAAGCUAAAUAUUGGCGAGAGACCGAUAGCGAACAAGUACCGUGAGGGAAAGAUGAAAAGAACUUUGAAAAGAGAGUUAAACAGGUACAUGAAAUUGUCAAAAGGGAAGCGUUUGAUCACCAGUGUUGUUUUUCUGAAAAUCAAUUAAAGAACUGUUUAUGCUAAGUUGUUUAGACUUUAUCAGCUAACUGUUUAGUUUUGAGCUUUUCUUUAAUGCACUUUUCAGUUAACAAGUCAACAUCAAUUUCUUUUGCUGUAAAAAAGCUUGAGGAAAGUGGCUUGAGAUUCGUCUUAAGUGUUUAUAGCCUCUUGCCUAUGCAGUCGGAGAGAUUGAGGUCUGCAGCGUAGAUCCUUCGGGGCUAAAUGCAUUUGUGCUAAGUUAUAGCAUUUUAUAGACAACUUGUUGACUAUGAUUUGUCUUGUAGCUUACUCGCUUAUGUUAUUUACCUACGCUUAGGAUGUUGAAGAUGUAGCACAUCAU
rnacentral:rRNA from 1 species